AUUGAACGCUGGCGGCGUGCUUAACACAUGCAAGUCGAUCGGUAACAGGUGUAGCAAUACAUGCUGACGAGAGGCGGACGGGUGAGUAAUGCUUGGGAAUCUGCCUAUUAGUGGGGGACAACCCGGGGAAACUCGGGCUAAUACCGCAUACGCUCUACGGAGGAAAGCCGGGGACCGCAAGGCCUGGCGCUAAUAGAUGAGCCCAAGUCGGAUUAGCUAGUUGGUAGGGUAACGGCCUACCAAGGCGACAAUCCGUAGCUGGUCUGAGAGGACGACCAGCCACACCGGAACUGAGACACGGUCCGGACUCCUACGGGAGGCAGCAGUGGGGAAUAUUGGACAAUGGGGGCAACCCUGAUCCAGCGACGCCGCGUGGGUGAAG
rnacentral:rRNA from 1 species